UACGAAGGGGGCUAGCGUUGUUCGGAAUUACUGGGCGUAAAGCGUGCGCAGGCGGCUUCUCAAGUCAGGGGUGAAAGCCCAGAGCUCAACUCUGGAAUUGCCUUUGAGACUGAGUGGCUUGAGUACGAGAGAGGUGAGUGGAAUUCCCAGUGUAGAGGUGAAAUUCGUAGAUAUUGGGAAGAACACCGGUGGCGAAGGCGGCUCACUGGCUCGUAACUGACGCUCAUGCACGACAGCGUGGGGAUCAAACAGGA
rnacentral:rRNA from 1 species